AAAUCAAGUGUAGUGAAAUAAAAACUUAUGUUUUCACCAAAAACUAAGGCGCCAAAACUAAUUGAGCUGUAUAUACUGAAAUAAAAAAUUCCCAAUAUUAAUCAAACUCUCUAUCUUCUGAAAACACAAACACACCUAGUUUCUACACGUCGUUCCCAUCAUCUGCUCUGCCCUAGUUCUACCAAUUAAUUUCUCAUCUCCUCAGAUUCUUCUCUUGUUCAUCAAAAACCUCUCAAGGUAUUAUAGAUUCUUCUCCCUCUUCACUUUAUUUUCUAUAAUUUGUGCUAUUUGUUCUAUUACUUCUUUGUUUAAAAUCAAAAAGGUAAACACUCAAUAUUUUUACUCAGUUUCAAUGUUUUGUAUAUGCUCCAAGUUGAAUUUUUGAGCUUAUUAUUUUGGGUCUGUGUUUAUGAGGUGAAAAACCCGCUAUUUCUAUUUUAAAACUUAAUCUUCUGAUUCUAUUUCAUGUUUUGUGUAUGUACCCAGUUGAAUUUUUGAGUUUAUUCUUUUGGGUAUGUGUUUAUGAUACAAAAAAAAACCUUUUAUUUCUAUUUUAAGACUCAAUCUUGAUUUCAUUUUAUAUCUUUGUACAAGCCGAGUUGGAUUUGUGUGGUUAUUUUGGUUGUAUGAAUGUCUCUUUGUUUAUUUUUUGAUAAUUUGUGCUAUCUAUUUUAUGGGUAUGUGUUAGGAUCAGUAAGACCUUUUUUCAGUAUUGAGAUUUUUCGAGCCACAUAGGGACUUGUCUUGUUACUUCUAUUUGCAAUUUUUCUUAUUUUACAUCUGUAAAGGUUUCGACUAAAUUCAUUUAUACCUCAUAGCCUAUCUAAUCUCUAUUGUCAUUUGUAUUUAGCAUACCUGGAAAUAAUAGCAUAUGGGAAGAUAGCAAUUCCCUUUCGCUGUGUUUAACUCUUUCACUCUCGAUAGGAAAAAAAAAUUGAAAAAGUUAUGGAACCCGUGUUUUGAAGCAAGGCCUAACCAAAUAUGUGAAUUUAACUUUUAUGGCCAAACUUAAAUAAAUUUCUACCUCCACUAUGAGCAUCUGUAAAUCCAUCACAUAAGUUAGCUUUAACAGAAAUCACAAAACCAUUAGUUCUAAAGAGAAGGUACAAUUUGUAAAUUGGAACGAGAAGGUACAAUUUCAUUGCCACCAUCUACUGAUUAAGUUAUUCAACACUGCCAAUCAGUUGAAACAGGUAUGAUAUUUUGAAUCCAUGUGUUAUAAAUUUGAAGAACCGAAUUUUAUUGCUGUAGUUUAACCAAAUCAUGCAAAUGUAGGUUCAUCUAAUCCUAGAAAGGUAUAAAGAGCUCAGGGUAGGAACACGUGUAAAGAAGUUGGACAAAAGCUGAAAGUAACUUUUUACAAUAAUCGGACUGUUGGAACAAAUAGCAACCUGUUUUCGAGGCACUUGGGAAGAAUAAUUCGUGAUCGUAAUAUGUGUCCGUUGGGAGUUCCAUCGUGGAAUGAUAUUAAGCAAGAAAAAUUGAAUCACAUGUGGGCAGCUGUUGAGGAUAAAUUUGAAAGUGCUGACAUGAAUGAUCAUCGUUAUCAUGUCUUGGAAUGGAUGAAAGAGUUAUGGAACAAAUGGAAAGGAUACUUGCAUGCACAAUAUGUGAAAAACAAUCCAAUCCAAUAGGCUCUUAAGAAUAUGCCAAAGGGAGUAUACAAGAAAGAAUGGGAGUGCUUAGUAAAAGAAAAUUUUACUUCAGAAAGUUUUCAGCAACAGGAAUGCAGCAAAUCGAGCUAAGUUGAAGAUGCCUCAUCAUAUUGGUAGCAAGCCUAUUCGAGAGAUUAUUUAUCAAAAGGUAUUAUCAUAAAAUUUCUAUUUUCCUAGAGGAAAUAUUUAUGAGAUGUUAUUUGACAUGUUUGCUUUUGAUGUAAAGGGCGGGAAAUAUGGCAAUCCACCAGAUUUGGGGACUGUUUUCUAUGAGACUCGUAAAAAAGAUAACAAGCUUGUUGAACCUGAAGCAAUUGAAAAACAUGCUCAGAUCGAAGAAAUGGUUCAAUCAGAGCCAUCUCUAUCUAGCAUAGAGAUUGUCAAAAACUGUUGUGGACCUCAAACUCAUAGCCAUGUAUUUGGCUUUGGGUGUGGAGUAAAGGCGAAAGACUUGAAAGGUGGAACCUCUUCAAAAGCUGAAUUGUUGUCUGCGCUACGUUCGACUCAAGAAGAAAACAAAUCCUUGAAUGAGAAAAAUAAAUCCUUGAAUGACCGUUUGUCUGCCUUAGAAGAUGAGAUGAAAGAAAUUAAGAAAAUAAAAGAAUUCUUUGCCUCUCAACAAUCAUAUGUCCUGCCUACGACAUCGCCUGUUUCAACUGAAUGACCACUGUUUUUGUCUGCUAACCAACCUCGAUGAUUUUGCUGGAUAACACCUAAUGAAUUUAUUAGUUUACUUUUGGGGUUUUGAAGAUUGAAUUUGACAAGUCAAGACGGAAUUUUAGAAGAUGCACAAGCUCAUUAUUUUGCUAGGAAUGUUAUGCACUCGCUAUCGUAGUCUAGCUCGAGUGUUAGCGAUGUUUUUUUGUUAAGGUGUCGAGCAAAUAUUGAAACUAACAUCAUGAGAUGUUAACAAUUUUACUGUAAUUAAUAACUCUAUCUUCCUCUUUAUAUAUAUAACGCUUUUGUAUCUA